rnacentral:rRNA from 1 species
AGCCACAGCCAUGUCACCCUGCAGCCCAAGACCGGUUACUCACUGAAGCCAAGCAGGGCUGAGCCUGGUCAGUACCUGGAUGGGAGACCACUAGGGAACACUAGGUUGCUGUUGGAA